UACGGAGGGUGCAAGCGUUAAUCGGAAUUACUGGGCGUAAGGCGCACGCAGGUGGCUGAGUCAGUCGAUUGUGAAAGCCCUGGGCUUAACCUGGGAAUUGCAGUCGAUACUACUCGGCUCGAGUAUGGGAGAGGGCAGUGGAAUUCCCGGUGUAGCGGUGAAAUGCGUAGAUAUCGGGAGGAACAUCAGUGGCGAAGGCGGCUGCCUGGCCCAAUACUGACACUCAGGUGCGACAGCGUGGGGAGCAAACAGG
rnacentral:rRNA from 1 species